CAAUAAAUAUUUUAAGAUAAAAAGUUAGUUUUGGGUACUAGAAAUAUGUUGUUAAACAUUUUAUUGA
rnacentral:tRNA from 1 species